rnacentral:rRNA from 1 species
GACGAACGCUGGCGGCGUGCUUAACACAUGCAAGUCGUACGGUAAGGCCCUUUCGGGGGUACACGAGUGGCGAACGGGUGAGUAACACGUGAGUAACCUGCCCACAACUUUGGGAUAACGCUAGGAAACUGGUGCUAAUACUGGAUAUGUGCUCCUUCUGCAUGGUGGGGGUUGGAAAGCUCCGGCGGUUGUGGAUGGACUCGCGGCCUAUCAGCUUGUUGGUGGGGUAGUGGCCUACCAAGGCGGCGACGGGUAGCCGGCCUGAGAGGGUGACCGGCCACAUUGGGACUGAGAUACGGCCCAGACUCCUACGGGAGGCAGCAGUGGGGAAUAUUGCACAAUGGGCGCAAGCCUGAUGCAGCAACGCCGCGUGCGGGAGGACGGCCUUCGGGUUGUAAACCGCUUUCAGCAGGGACGAAGCUUUUUGUGACGGUACCUGCAGAAGAAGCACCGGCUAACUACGUG